ACAAAUCGGUUGUGAUGUCCCUCGCAAACGAUCUCAAAGAAUACUUCACCCUGAAUGAGCCAUCAGUGUCCUCCCCGUUUACAUUGUGGGCAGCCCACAAACCAGUUAUAAGAGGCAAACUGAUAUCUAUAGCGACGGCACGCAAAAAACGCCAUAACAAACAAUUAAUGGAAACCAUAGCAGAAAUAGGCCGUCUUGAGACCCUGCAUAAACUCCACCCAGACCCCUCACACUUAGAACAGCUCACAACAGCCAGAGCACUUCUCAAAAGCCUUUCCUUAUCAGACACAGCCAAAGCCCUCACAUGGACUAAGCAAAAAUACU